rnacentral:lncRNA from 1 species
CCCAGCAGAGGACAUGGCCUUGGAGCUAAAUAAAGGCAGGCCCGUCUUAGAGGGGAUCCCUGGGGGGAAAGAGACGAGCAUAGGUUCCUCCCAAGAUGCCACCCGCUUCAUUCAAGUGUCUGGCAGCACUGUGUUCCUGUUAGAGCCACCAGCACAAGCACCAGACGAUGCUGAUCCAGUGGGUACUCCACAAAGGCAUACUGUAGGCCUGGCAUGUCUUGUCUACUAGCUUCAAUAUGAAUCCGAUUAAAUGUGAUGGGUGAAGGCCCCAGUGCAGCAGCAACAGCACAUGAUGGAGACGAUGAUGAGGAGGAGACCAUCUCUCUGGAUUCCAGAGCAUGAGGUAUCAUGUUAAGACUGUGAAAGUCUAUUUACUCUACAAUGGUGAGGAGUCCUCAUCAAAAUCUAAAAAUCUAAUUUCUUUUACAGACCCAGAUGCUAUACAGUGGGAAAACCAGCCUGGCAACAUAGUGCGUAUUAAUAAAAGGACACCACAUCCUGCCAAAUUCCAGCUGCGCUAAUUGUAUUGUGUUCACCGAGCUCACAAGCUAUCAGAAAGUUGUAUGGCAACCACCUCCGUCGCCAAAUAGAACUGGCAGACAUAGACAUUCAGUACAAGAAGAAAAAAGAUGGAAAUCUUGCACUGGAGUUCGAAUAAAAAAGAGGACAAUUAGGAAACUGGACCUUGAAAUAAAAAAACUUGAGAGGGAGGUGAGAUAUUGCCUUCAAUGUACACUGUAUGCUAACUGUCCACAAUGUAUUAAUCAUUAUUUUCUUUCCUCCCCCAGCUCAACGAAGAUGACACAGCUCAAAAUAAAAAUUAGGUAUAUUCUCGUAAAGUCAAGUGAGCCAUGACAUAUGACUCUUAUUGUGGCACACAGGACGGGGCAUCUUUCUAAGGUAUUUUUAUUUUCCCAGCAAUCAGUACAACCAAGUCAUCGUUAUAAGGCAUCGCCCUCUUUUGCCCACCCCCCCAGCACCAGGUGUGGCCACUAGCCUAUAUGAAGGCCCAAAAUUGUGUGUUCCUUUCUGCUCUGACAAUGGCAUGCCCAUUCGUGCGAGAUGUGGUGGAUGAAGAAGCACUUGUGCUGAGGG